rnacentral:rRNA from 1 species
UGGGCAACCUGCCCCUCUCUCUGGGAUAACCCCGGGAAACCGAAGCUAAUACCGGAUACUCCGGCUGGAUCGCAUGGUCCGGCCGGGAAAGGUCCGCCGGAGAGGGAUGGGCCCGCGGCCUAUCAGCUUGUUGGUGAGGUAACGGCUCACCAAGGCCACGACGGGUAGCUGGUCUGAGAGGACGACCAGCCACACUGGAACUGAGAUAUGGUCCAGACUCCUACGGGAGGCA